rnacentral:lncRNA from 1 species
GGAAGUGGUCGCUCGACCAGUGUAGUUGAUAAUUCGGCAACUUCUCCAUCAGAUGUUAGAGGAAAAACAGGCAGUGUCCUAUCUACUUCACAAUCUAAAAGAGAGGACGAAAAACCACAAGUCACACAACCAUCUGUGCCAUCAAAACCUGCAUUAGAAGAGAACAUAGUUCUUGGUGUUGCUCUCGAGGGUUCGAAAAGAACGCUUCCAAUUGAAGAAGAGAUAUCACCAUCUCCAAAUCCAGCUGAAUCCAAGGAAAUGGCAACUAGCCGUAGCGGCAAUGCUUCUACCGUUGCAGAGAAAGAUAAACAAGAUGGACAACGUUCUAACCGUCCUAAUUCUGCAGCUCCAGAUCAGUCGGGUAAACGGCCCUCUACCGGAAAUUGAUCCACCUGUGUUUGUUUCUAACCAUGUGAAACUAUUUCUUUGUCAACACCAGAUUUGAUGUUUAUAUAUGGUAGUUGUCUUGAAGUCCAGGAUAGUGGAAGUAUUUAGCCUAUCAUAGUGGUUUUUUAUGUAUGUAUUUACUGUGCCCAGUUUGAUCCUCCAGUGUCAUACUUUUUUGGUUAUUGGCUAAGUCAAGCAACUUCUAUAGGAAUCGUCAUUUUCCAUUCACAUACGAGGCUUAUAUUUAAAGAAGGAUACGUACUAUUAUCUUAAUUAUUUAUUAUUUCUUGGUUAUUUAUUAAAUAAAAAUGGAUAAAUAUUUAAGUUGAGCCUUGAAAUUAUUGGUAAAGUCGUUGGCAUGGUCACAAAUUUAAGUUGUGAAAACAACCUUCGAUAUAAAUGCAAGAUAUAUAAGGUUUGAUACAAUAAAUUCUUGCGAUCCGAUCUUUCUCUAAAACACAAUAGUCUUUGGUGAAGGUUUAAUAUCCCAAUUAUUUUCUUUAAGCGAAUUCAACGUACCAUAAUAAAUGAUUUAACAACGUAUAUGUAUAAAGUGAGUGAGUUUUCGAUAAAUACUUAUUCACUUCAAUUGUUUAGUCAAACGAAUUCAACUUACUAUAAUUUUGAUAGUGUGGGGAAUAUUUUUAUUGAAACCAAUAAUUUUAUGAUUCGGACUAUAGAAUACUAAGACUUUAUUCUUCAAUAUGAAUGAAUCCCCCAUAAGAUACAGAGAAUUACAGUACUUUCUUUGUCUAAUGACUCUGGCGAAUAAUAUUUAUCGUCUUUCUUAGUAGGACAUUUCGUAUUCGAGUGAAUAUAAGAUUGCUUUUGUAAAGGAUUAUUUAGACUAUUUAAAUAGUAAUAAUAUAAAUAAUUUUAUUAUAUCACUCUUCGAAUAUAUUGAAUUUAAUAUUUUUAUAAAUAUAUUAAGAAAUAAAUAAUAAUAAAUAUUAUUAGACAUUGUGCGAAACAACUGUAAGAGAGAAAAGUGUCGGUGGUUUGGUGCCUAAAUUGCCAAUUGUCACAAUUAUUAGUUUGUCACAUUAAAAGCAUACAAUACAUUUUUUUUAUGGUAAAGUACUUGUCCUGCAACAUCCAACUACAAAAGUGUUUUUAUACGUUAAUUUUUAUUUGUUCAAUAUAUUAAAAAUAUGUUAAUAAUAUUGGUCCAACAACAUGCAACCCCAUGCAUUGCUGCAAAGAGGUUGUAGGUCAUAGAAGGAGCAAUUCUACCACUGCGCCAAUGCUCACUCUCGUGUGAUAAAAGCACAUGUUAGAACUAACACAACAAUUGAUUAAUUCUUCUUAUUUUUUUUAAUAAGUAAAUAUCUAAGAAAUAAUGUACUAAUCAUUAUCAAUAAAAAUAUUUUCUUUAUCAUCAAAGUAGAUAAACCCAAGAAGUUAAUAUCACAACUCGACCAUUGCAUCAAUGCUCGCUCUCACACAAUAAAACUACAUACUAGAGUUAACUUUCAACAAUUGACUAAUCAUCAUCAAUAAAAUAGUCUCUACCUCACAAGAAAUUUUACCUAAAAGAUUAAUAAUGCAACUCUAUCGCUAUGCCAAUGCUCACCCUUACACAAUAAAAUAAAGAUUGAGUUAAUUCUUCGCAAUUGACUAAUUAUGAGUUAUAAUCAAUAAAAUCUAAUCUUUACCCCAAAAAACAAGUUAAAGCCAACAUAUUUAUACCUAUUACUAGUUUGAAAGUGAUAACUAUAAGCUACUCCCGACACUUGACUACUCAAUAAUGUUGCAGUAGAAAUUUAAUCUUUACCAAAAUAUAAAUAUAAACCUAGCAAUUUCACGGCCAUUAGUACUUAAAACCUACAAUUAAUGACACUUUCGACUAUUGACUGUUCACGGAUUCAAACUAUGAAAAGUGGAAUCAGUCUCUUAGAGAAAUGCAGAGUGUAAAUGCUGUGUACAAUAUAACUUUGUGGCCCGAUCCUUUCCCAGGCCGUGCGAACAACGAAACUUAGUGCACCGAACUACUCUUUUUAGUUUAGCAAUAAGAAUCUAAUAUUGCAACUCUACGAUUGCUCCAAUGGUCACCCCCCACAACAAAAGCAAAUAUUAGAGCUAAUUCUCAACAAUUGACUUGUCAUGAACAAUAAAAAUGUAGUCUUUACAGCAAAUACUUCAGACAAAUUCAAGAAACUAUACACACUAAUUUGAAAUCUAUAACUAAAUCGACUACUCAAUUAUAGCAAUAAAAAUUUAAUCUUUAUCAAAAAAUAAAAUAAACCUCAGAAUUUCACACCCAUUAGUACUUAAAACCUUCAAUUAUUAAUGACACUUUCAGCUACAGAUUAUAGACUAUUUACAUAAAGAGUAAAUAAACCACCAACAGAAUAUGAAUAAUAGUCUGUAUUUUUCUUGAUAAUGAUUAGUCACACAACCAUCUGUGCCAUCAAAACCUGCAUUAGAAGAGAACAUAAUUCUUGGUGUUGCUCUCGAGGGUUCGAAAAGAACGCUUCCAAUUGAAGAAGAUAUGAAUCCAAGGAAAUGGCAACUAGUAG